AUGGGCGAAAGCCUGAUGCAGCGACGCCGCGUGAGGGAUGACGGCCUUCGGGUUGUAAACCUCUUUCAGCAGGGACGAAGCGCAAGUGACGGUACCUGCAGAAGAAGCACCGGCCAACUACGUGCCAGCAGCCGCGGUAAUACGUAGGGUGCGAGCGUUGUCCGGAAUUACUGGGCGUAAAGAGCUCGUAGGCGGUUUGUCGCGUCGUCUGUGAAAACCCGCAGCUCAACUGCGGGCUUGCAGGCGAUACGGGCAGACUUGAGUACUGCAGGGGAGACUGGAAUUCCUGGUGUAGCGGUGAAAUGCGCAGAUAUCAGGAGGAACACCGGUGGCGAAGGCGGGUCUCUGGGCAGUAACUGACGCUGAGGAGCGAAAGCGUGGGUAGCGAACAGGAUUAGAUACCCUGGUAGUCCACGCCGUAAACGGUGGGCGCUAGGUGUGGGUUUCCUUCCACGGGAUCCGUGCCGUAGCUAACGCAUUAAGCGCCCCGCCUGGGGAGUACGGCCGCAAGGCUAAAACUCAAAGGAAUUGACGGGGGCCCGCACAAGCGGCGGAGCAUGUGGAUUAAUUCGAUGCAACGCGAAGAACCUUACCUGGGUUUGACAUAUACCGGAAACGCCUAGAGAUAGGUGCCCCCUUGUGGUCGGUAUACAGGUGGUGCAUGGCUGUCGUCAGCUCGUGUCGUGAGAUGUUGGGUUAAGUCCCGCAACGAGCGCAACCCUUGUCCUGUGUUGCCAGCGCGUAAUGGCGGGGACUCGCAGGAGACUGCCGGGGUCAACUCGGAGGAAGGUGGGGAUGACGUCAAGUCAUCAUGCCCCUUAUGUCCAGGGCUUCACACAUGCUACAAUGGCCGGUACAGAGGGCUGCGAUACCGUGAGGUGGAGCGAAUCCCUUAAAGCCGGUCUCAGUUCGGAUCGGGGUCUGCAACUCGACCCCGUGAAGUCGGAGUCGCUAGUAAUCGCAGAUCAGCAACGCUGCGGUGAAUACGUUCCCGGGCCUUGUACACACCGCCCGUCACGUCAUGAAAGUCGGUAACACCCGAAGCCGG
rnacentral:rRNA from 1 species